rnacentral:rRNA from 1 species
AUUGAACGCUGGCGGCAUGCCUUACACAUGCAAGUCGAACGGCAGCACGGGGCAACCUGGUGGCGAGUGGCGGACGGGUGAGGAACGCUUGGGAAUCUGCCUAUCAGCGGGGGACAACACGGGGAAACUCGUGCUAAUACCGCAUACGCUCUACGGAGGAAAGCCGGGGACCGCAAGGCCUGGCACUGAUAGAUGAGCCCAAGUCGGAUUAGCUAGUUGGCGGGGUAACGGCCCACCAAGGCGACGAUCCGUAGCUGGUCUGAGAGGACGAUCAGCCACACUGGGACUGAGACACGGCCCAGACUCCUACGGGAGGCAGCAGUGGGGAAUAUUGGACAAUGGGGGAAACCCUGAUUCAGCGACGCCGCGUGGGUGAAGAAGGCCUGCGGGUUGUAAAGCCCUUUCGGUAGGGACGAAAGCUCUCGACCUAACACGUCGGGGGGUUGACUUAACCUACAAAAGAAGCACCGGCUAACUCUGUGCCAGCCGCCGCAGUAACAC